rnacentral:rRNA from 1 species
UCCUAAGGGAGGCAGCAGUAGGGAAUCUUCCGCAAUGGACGAAAGUCUGACGGAGCAACGCCGCGUGAACGAUGAAGGCCUUCGGGUCGUAAAGUUCUGUUGUUAGGGAAGAACAAGUACCAGAGUAACUGCUGGUACCUUGACGGUACCUAACCAGAAAGCCACGGCUAACUACGUGCCAGCAGCCGCGGUAAUACGUAGGUGGCAAGCGUUGUCCGGAAUUAUUGGGCGUAAAGCGCGCGCAGGUGGUUUCUUAAGUCUGAUGUGAAAGCCCACGGCUCAACCGUGGAGGGUCAUUGGAAACUGGGGAACUUGAGUGCAGAAAAGGAAAGUGGAAUUCCAAGUGUAGCGGUGAAAUGCGUAGAGAUUUGGAGGAACACCAGUGGCGAAGGCGACUUUCUGGUCUGUAACUGACACCUGAGCCCGAAAGCCUGGGGAACCAAACAGGAUAAGAACCCCCGGUAGCCCACCCCCAAAACAAAGAAGGCUAAAUGUUAAAGGGGUUCCGCCCUU